UGUUGAAACUCCUCAGCAACCUCGGUCCAGCUUUCUCAUCAAUAGAUCAGACCAGUGGCACCAGUGGAAAUGAUUCCUUAGAUCAGACCGGUGGUACCAGUGGAAAUGAUUCCUUAGAUCAGACCGGUGGCACCAGUGGAAAUGAUUCCUUGGAUCAGACCGGUGGUACCAGUGGAAAUGAUUCCUUAAUCCACAAUGCAAGAAAAACCACAAAGCUACAGGACCUAGGACUUGAAAAUGAAUACCUCAAUAGCGGGGACACAGACAUCAACUUUACGUUGACCCAUUCCACAAUUCAGUGUUUUUUUUGGAUGUCCUAAUGACUGUAGAAAAUGGAUGGCUGACAACAGACUUAUUUACAAAGGAGACAGACAGGAACACACUUCUGAGUGGGUUCAUGGGAUAAAACUGC